rnacentral:rRNA from 1 species
GUACGAAAUUCACGAGAUGUGAGUCGUGGUGUACACACACACGGUAGACGGUACACGACGCAGUACAUCUUCUCGUGUGGCUGUCUGUCUCUCUGGGUUGGUUGGUGGAAGCUGGCUCUGGGUGUGAGUGUGAGUGACUCAGUCGUCAGUCCUCCCUUCUUCUUCUUCUUCUUCUUCUUCUUCUUCAACCUCGCACCUCACCUCAGCUCCUUCUUGUUGUUACCGUCACGGUGCAGCAAGCAAACAAACAAUCAGAUCGACACAGAUCCGGCGGCCCUGUUGCCUUGCCUCACCGGAUCUCCCCAUUCCUUCUUCUCCUCUUGCUCUCGACUGGACUCGAUUCGAGUGGAAGCGAAGCGAAGCAAUCAUCUUGAUCUUGGAAGAUUGAUUGAUUGAUUGAUUGAUUGAUUGAUUGAUGGGGAAGAAGCCCAGGUGGCUGGGCGCCGUCAAGAAGGCUUUCAGCCCCGAAUCCAAGGACCAGAAACUGCAGAGGAGGUUGGCCGCCGCCGGCACCAGCACCAGCUCCAGCGCACCCUACCCGCGGGAUCUGACGCCCUCCGCCUCCUACCUCCAGGCCCGCGCCUCAGGCUCAGGCUCCGCCCUCCCCCGCUACCCCGACGACUUCCCGGAGGCCUCACUUCCGCCUCCUGCUCCUGCUCCGGCCCCGCUCCCCGUCACUGAAACUCAAACUCAAACUCAAACCCAAAGGGAGGAGCAUGAAAUUGAGCAUGUCGCUGCCGAGCCACCCACAGCCACGGAUGCACCGCUCCCUGCCCCUGCCCCUGCCGCCGCACCACCACAGGUUCAGGCACAGGCUGCCGCUGUGCCGGCGGCUUCUUCCUCUCCCAUCCUGUCCAGGGAGCUCGCCGCCACCAAGAUCCAGACCGCCUUCAGAGGUCACCUGGUAAUUACCAACGCCACACCCCCUAAUCCUAAAUCCAAUCUUAUUAUAGCUUACCUACUACAGUAACUAGCAACCUCAAAACUAGUCCUCAAUUUUGGCUACUCAUCAUCUGAAAACAAUACAUACAUUCUGUUUUCUUUCUUGACAUAGGAUCCCUUCCUUUAAUAUCAAAGCCAUCAAAUACCAACAAGUCUUCAACCUGCAACUUUGUUUCAUAAACUGGGCAGUGGCUGAUGCAUUUCGAAGUUUUGACCUAUAAAUAGACCCCAUUUUCAUUCUGAUGCGACCCUGACGGUUUGCUCAUCAACCAUGCAUGCUACAAUUAUUUCAUUAAUUACAGCCAUUUUUUUUUCUUGGACUUGUGUACUCAUUCAUUCCACCAUUUUUAUUUAUGCCAACUCUCUCCUUUUUUUUUUUUUGGCUCCAACUGCUUGACUUUGCUGUGUGGUGUGAGGCACAUUGUCUGCCACUGCCUAAGCAGGGAAAUCAAACACGACACUUGAUGUACCCCGCCGCCCCCCCAAUGGAGCUUUAACUGAAUGUUUUCUGUUACGCACUAGCAGAAUUGUUUUUUCUUACACAUAUUUUAAGUGUGCCAAGCGAAGAAUUACUCAUACAGGUUUCCCCCAUGUAUGAAUAUCUAUCUAUCUAUCUAUCUAUCCAGGCGAUUAAUUACUGAAACCAGCAUUCUUCAUGGACAUAGGAUUCUUGUUACAUCAAGACCAUCAAAUGCCAAAUGAACUGUCAAUUUUAUAUCAUCGAUGAUUAAUUAAAAACUAGUCCUGAACCUGUAAGUUUGUUUUUUAAUUCCCUAAAUAAUCUCUUCCAACUUGCAACUUUUGACACAUACAGUACAUCCUUAUGACACAUUUGCUUAGUCUGACGGUCUGCAGGCCAAUCAUGCAUAUGCUAGAAUUAGUUCAUUAACUGCAGUGACUCACUGUUAUCAUUUUUAUUUAUGCUAACUGUAAGCCUUUGUUGUGUGCCAUUGCCUAACCAGGAGCUUCCUGCAAUCCUAAUGGAGCUUUAACUGAACCUUUUUCUUUUGUUACACACUAGCAUUUUGUACCGACACUAUGAGUGUACCGUCUGAAUUGCUGAUAUAUCUAUUUCCCCCCAUGCAUGAAUAUCUAUGUAUCUAUCCAGGCGAGAAGGGCGCUGCGGGCAUUGAAAGGCCUGGUCAGGCUCAAGUCUCUGGUACAAGGCCACUCCGUCAAGCGCCAGGCCACCAGCACGCUUCGCUGCAUGCAGACUCUGUCCCGGGUCCAGUCCAAGAUACGGACGAGGAGGAUCAAGAUGGCCGAGCAGAACCAGGCCCUUCAGCGCCAGCUCUUGUUGAACCAGGAACUGGAGACUCUCAGGAUGGGAGAUCAGUGGAACACCAGCCUGCAAUCCAAGGAGCAGAUCGAGGCCAGCCUCGUGAGCAGGCAAGAGGCAGCAGCUAGAAGAGAACGGGCCCUCGCAUACGCGUUUUCCCAUCAGUGGAAGAGCACCUCAAGGUCUGCCAACCCGAUGUUUGUGGACCCGAGCAACCCGCACUGGGGCUGGAGCUGGCUGGAGCGGUGGAUGGCGUCGAGGCCGUUCGACGGCCGCAACGGGGCGUCCGAGAAGGACGGCAGCAGCGUCGACCGCACGUCGGUGAACAGCACCAGCCUGAGCAUGAACCUCGGCGAAGUGGAGACGAUCACAAAGGAUGACAACCAGGUGGUGGACUCUUUGAAGCCGAAUGAUGAUAAGCCCGCACCGUUUUCGACGCCGAAGCCGUCCGGCCCUGCCCCCAGGCAGUCCCCGUCGACGCCCUCGCCGGCAGUGCUGGCGAGGAAGAAGAGCGCGGCGCCGAAGAGUGGAGACGACGGCGACGACGCGAGGAGCGUGGUCAGUGCUGUCCGGUCCGAACGGCCCCGGAGGCACAGCAUCGGCGCGUCCAGCGUGCGUGAUGACGCGAGCCUGUCGGGCUCUUCCCCGUCUGUGCCGAGCUACAUGGCGGCCACCAAGUCGGCGUCGGCCAGGGCCAAGCUGCGCGUCCAGAGCCCGACGCUGACCGAGGGCGCUGCUCAUGCUGAAACGCUGGAGAAAGGAUGGUCUUCUGUGGGUUCAGCGAAGAAGAGGCUGUCCUUUCCGGCUGGGACGCCGCCGCCGGUGCCGUCGGCGGCGGCGAGACGGCACUCUGGGCCUCCCAAGGUGCGGCAGGCGGCCGUGGAAGGUGGUACCGAGGGACGGGACUCGGCGCUCGUGUGACAUCAUGGAAAGGAGAUUAUUUGUCUGAAACAGAGCAGAGCAGAGCGGGAUUCGUUGUGUUUGUUGAGUCAAAGGAACGUAGAAUGUGUGUUGUGUUGUGUGGAUCCAUUUGAUUUGAUUUGUAUUCCUAUUUGAUUUGUUUAUUCAUUCACUGAAUAAGCGUCUAUCUGUAAUGAUUUGAUUUGCAGGGAGAGGUUUUUCGGAUCAUCAUCAUGUGUAUGUAUGUAUGUGUGUGUUGACAAGAAGAUGAGGAGUUUUUUGAAUUUCAAAUCAUGAUGAUGAUGAUG